rnacentral:misc_RNA from 1 species
UCCGAGUUGUCCCCGGCAGUCCCUUUAGAGUCCCCGGCAUUACCCGCUGGCAACUAAAGGCAGGGGUUGCGCUCGUUGCGGCACUUAAGCCAACACCUCACGGCACGAGCUGACGACAGCCAUGCAGCACCUGUGCUGGGCCCUUACGGACACGGGCUUUCACCCGCUUUACCCAGCAUGUCAAGCCUAGGUAAGGUGGGGAUGACGUUCGUCUGAC